UACGUAGGUGGCAAGCGUUGUCCGGAUUUACUGGGCGUAAAGGGCGCGUAGGCGGCCCGGUAAGUCAAAGGUGAAAUCCCUCGGCUCAACUGAGGAACUGCCUUUGAAACUGUCGGGCUCGAGGCCGGGAGGGGGUAGCGGAAUUCCCAGUGUAGCGGUGAAAUGCGUAGAUAUUGGGAGGAACACCGGUGGCGAAGGCGGCUACCUGGACCGGUUCUGACGCUGAUGCGCGAAAGCGUGGGUAGCAAACAGG
rnacentral:rRNA from 1 species